rnacentral:misc_RNA from 1 species
CCAAUUUCUUUUCUUUUAUCAAUGCCUUGUUUGUGACUCUCCUGGAGCAAGUUCUGGGGUUGCAGGAACUAUGUCAAGAUGCCCUUGGUGACUAGCAUUCCCCACUGAUCGCUCAGAACCAGGCAGUAGCCAUUGGCGAGAGUGUUCAGUNUCUCAGGACUAUCAAUAGACCGGACCAUACUCAUUGUCGAUUGUCUCAUACGUUUUGUUUCCAAAGAGUCUUGUAUUGGGAACCGACAAACGGGACAUGUAGAUUGUUUUCUUAGCCAUACAUCAAUGCAAGACAGAUGAAAGUUGUGACCACAUUUGGGCAUGAUGCGCAAUACUUCCUUUUCUUGGUAUUCUCCUAAACAUAUUGAGCACUGCGCAUCUUCCACAGAACUAAAUGCCUCACGGCUGAACUUCAUAGUGGGAAUAGCCGAAACCAGCACUGGUUCAAGGCCACUAAUCCGAUGUUCUGGCUGUUCAAGGUCAAUCCUGGUCUCGAACAUUUGCCUCGAUUCGGACGCUCGAAUCCUCCCACAUAUUAUUCUUGUGCAAACAAACACAAUAAAAGUGGCACUCAUCCCAAACCCAAUAAUUGUAGUGAUCAAAUUCAUCCCUGAACCUAACAUCUGCUCACUAUCAAAAAUCAACGGGUACUCACGAGUCCAACCGCAAAUACAAGUUGCAAGAAAUAACCCCAAGUUCUUCAACAAGACCAAGACAAAUAAAAAUAAGGGGAAUUAGAAGACCCACCAGCUCGAGAGCAAUUAAGAUGAUGCAAGACACAGAAAACCAGGGAAGUAACAAAGACCCAGAUCAGGAACCUUUAAGAAAUGACUAUUCUUCAAUAGUUCAAUGCCAAGAUGCAUAAAACUAAAUCACAAAAAGAAGAAGAAGAAGAUUGAAAACCCACAUGGAAUCAUAAUCGCUUUGGGUGGACUCAAAGUUGAUUCAAAGGGAAGGGGGCCAUUGAACGGAUGGUAGGGAUGAGAG